UUCGCAAUGCCCGAAAGGGUGACGAAGCGACGCCGCGUGUGGGAAGAAGGCCUUCGGGUUGUAAACCACUGUCAGGAGUUAAGAAAUGCAAGGAUAUUAAUAGUGUCUUUGUUUGACUAAGGCUCCGGAGGAAGCCACGGCUAACUCUGUGCCAGCAGCCGCGGUAAUACAGAGGCGGCAAGCGUUGUUCGGAAUUAUUGGGCGUAAAGAGCACGUAGGCGGCUAUGUAAGUCGGUUGUGAAAGCCUUCCGCUCAACGGAAGAACAGCAUCCGAUACUACAUGGCUUGAGUGCGGGAGGGGAGAGUGGAACUUCUGGUGGAGCGGUGAAAUGCGUAGAUAUCAGAAGGAACGCCGGCGGCGAAAGCGGCUCUCUGGCCCAUAACUGACGCUGAGUGUGCGAAAGCUAGGGGAGCAAACGGGAUUAGAUACCCCGGUAGUCCUAGCCGUAAACGAUGGGCACUAAGUAGAGGGGUUUU
rnacentral:rRNA from 1 species